rnacentral:sRNA from 1 species
AUAUAUAGUAAAAGUUAUACUUAUAAUUUAAUCUUUGUUUCGUUUGUUGAAUAUAGUUAAAAGACAUUUGUGGGUUAUUAUACUUAAAAAUAAAAAAGAGCAAUUGAUGAUAAUAAAAGAAGAAGAAAAAAACAUACUGUGAAAAUGAGAUUGUAGCCAUGUUUGAGAACAUCCAAGAGGAACUGAGUUCUCUUCCACAUCAUCUUGAGGAAAUCUUGAGACAUGAAAACUUUCUCGCCUUUGAAAUCAACACCAUCUGUUUCCAAUUUGAUGCAGUUCAUCUUCAGAAAUUGACAUCUUUCAUAGGCAAUUUGAUCAACAGCAACUAAGAGAAUGUGAUCAAUGAGAUAUCUUGUUCCCUCUCCAAGCCAAAAGCUGUUGAGAAAUAGAUCAAGCAUUGUGUUGUCACUCUCCACAUCUUGCUCAGCAUAAGCCCUAUUCACUACGGCAAUUAUCACUGUUUUGUUUCCCAUUGCAGUUUUUGCUAAAGCACACUCAAGGGCAUCUCCACACGCUUCACUCUUUGAAUUGUUCUACAAUGUUUGCACAAACUUCAGCUAAUCAAACUUCUCAAACACUUCACUUUAUAAUGUCGAGAUGUCUUCUGCCAACUGUAACGAUAAG